GGGUUGUGAGGUUAAGCGACUAAGCGUACACGGUGGAUGCCCUGGCAGUCAGAGGCGAUGAAGGACGUGCUAAUCUGCGAUAAGCGUCGGUAAGGUGAUAUGAACCGUUAUAACCGGCGAUUUCCGAAUGGGGAAACCCAGUGUGAUUCGACACACUAUCAUUAACUGAAUCCAUAGGUUAAUGAGGCGAACCGGGGGAACUGAAACAUCUAAGUACCCCGAGGAAAAGAAAUCAACCGAGAUUCCCCCAGUAGCGGCGAGCGAACGGGGAGCAGCCCAGAGCCUGAAUCAGUGUGUGUGUUAGUGGAAGCGUCUGGAAAGGCGCGCGAUACAGGGUGACAGCCCCGUACACAAAAAUGCACAUGCUGUGAGCUCGAUGAGUAGGGCGGGACACGUGGUAUCCUGUCUGAAUAUGGGGGACCAUCCUCCAAGGCUAAAUACUCCUGACUGACCGAUAGUGAACCAGUACCGUGAGGGAAAGGCGAAAAGAACCCCGGCGAGGGGAGUGAAAAAGAACCUGAAACCGUGUACGUACAAGCAGUGGGAGCACGCUUAGGCGUGUGACUGCGUACCUUUUGUAUAAUGGGUCAGCGACUUAUAUUCUGUAGCAAGGUUAACCGAAUAGGGGAGCCGAAGGGAAACCGAGUCUUAACUGGGCGUUAAGUUGCAGGGUAUAGACCCGAAACCCGGUGAUCUAGCCAUGGGCAGGUUGAAGGUUGGGUAACACUAACUGGAGGACCGAACCGACUAAUGUUGAAAAAUUAGCGGAUGACUUGUGGCUGGGGGUGAAAGGCCAAUCAAACCGGGAGAUAGCUGGUUCUCCCCGAAAGCUAUUUAGGUAGCGCCUCGUGAAUUCAUCUCCGGGGGUAGAGCACUGUUUCGGCAAGGGGGUCAUCCCGACUUACCAACCCGAUGCAAACUGCGAAUACCGGAGAAUGUUAUCACGGGAGACACACGGCGGGUGCUAACGUCCGUCGUGAAGAGGGAAACAACCCAGACCGCCAGCUAAGGUCCCAAAGUCAUGGUUAAGUGGGAAACGAUGUGGGAAGGCCCAGACAGCCAGGAUGUUGGCUUAGAAGCAGCCAUCAUUUAAAGAAAGCGUAAUAGCUCACUGGUCGAGUCGGCCUGCGCGGAAGAUGUAACGGGGCUAAACCAUGCACCGAAGCUGCGGCAGCGACGCUGAUGCGUUGUUGGGUAGGGGAGCGUUCUGUAAGCCUGCGAAGGUGUGCUGUGAGGCAUGCUGGAGGUAUCAGAAGUGCGAAUGCUGACAUAAGUAACGAUAAAGCGGGUGAAAAGCCCGCUCGCCGGAAGACCAAGGGUUCCUGUCCAACGUUAAUCGGGGCAGGGUGAGUCGACCCCUAAGGCGAGGCCGAAAGGCGUAGUCGAUGGGAAACAGGUUAAUAUUCCUGUACUUGGUGUUACUGCGAAGGGGGGACGGAGAAGGCUAUGUUGGCCGGGCGACGGUUGUCCCGGUUUAAGCGUGUAGGCUGGUUUUCCAGGCAAAUCCGGAAAAUCAAGGCUGAGGCGUGAUGACGAGGCACUACGGUGCUGAAGCAACAAAUGCCCUGCUUCCAGGAAAAGCCUCUAAGCAUCAGGUAACAUCAAAUCGUACCCCAAACCGACACAGGUGGUCAGGUAGAGAAUACCAAGGCGCUUGAGAGAACUCGGGUGAAGGAACUAGGCAAAAUGGUGCCGUAACUUCGGGAGAAGGCACGCUGAUAUGUAGGUGAAGUCCCUCGCGGAUGGAGCUGAAAUCAGUCGAAGAUACCAGCUGGCUGCAACUGUUUAUUAAAAACACAGCACUGUGCAAACACGAAAGUGGACGUAUACGGUGUGACGCCUGCCCGGUGCCGGAAGGUUAAUUGAUGGGGUUAGCGCAAGCGAAGCUCUUGAUCGAAGCCCCGGUAAACGGCGGCCGUAACUAUAACGGUCCUAAGGUAGCGAAAUUCCUUGUCGGGUAAGUUCCGACCUGCACGAAUGGCGUAAUGAUGGCCAGGCUGUCUCCACCCGAGACUCAGUGAAAUUGAACUCGCUGUGAAGAUGCAGUGUACCCGCGGCAAGACGGAAAGACCCCGUGAACCUUUACUAUAGCUUGACACUGAACAUUGAGCCUUGAUGUGUAGGAUAGGUGGGAGGCUUUGAAGUGUGGACGCCAGUCUGCAUGGAGCCGACCUUGAAAUACCACCCUUUAAUGUUUGAUGUUCUAACGUUGACCCGUAAUCCGGGUUGCGGACAGUGUCUGGUGGGUAGUUUGACUGGGGCGGUCUCCUCCUAAAGAGUAACGGAGGAGCACGAAGGUUGGCUAAUCCUGGUCGGACAUCAGGAGGUUAGUGCAAUGGCAUAAGCCAGCUUGACUGCGAGCGUGACGGCGCGAGCAGGUGCGAAAGCAGGUCAUAGUGAUCCGGUGGUUCUGAAUGGAAGGGCCAUCGCUCAACGGAUAAAAGGUACUCCGGGGAUAACAGGCUGAUACCGCCCAAGAGUUCAUAUCGACGGCGGUGUUUGGCACCUCGAUGUCGGCUCAUCACAUCCUGGGGCUGAAGUAGGUCCCAAGGGUAUGGCUGUUCGCCAUUUAAAGUGGUACGCGAGCUGGGUUUAGAACGUCGUGAGACAGUUCGGUCCCUAUCUGCCGUGGGCGCUGGAGAACUGAGGGGGGCUGCUCCUAGUACGAGAGGACCGGAGUGGACGCAUCACUGGUGUUCGGGUUGUCAUGCCAAUGGCACUGCCCGGUAGCUAAAUGCGGAAGAGAUAAGUGCUGAAAGCAUCUAAGCACGAAACUUGCCCCGAGAUGAGUUCUCCCUGACUCCUUGAGAGUCCUGAAGGAACGUUGAAGACGACGACGUUGAUAGGCCGGGUGUGUAAGCGCAGCGAUGCGUUGAGCUAACCGGUACUAAUGAACCGUGAGGCUUAACCUUACAACGCCGAAGCUGUU
rnacentral:rRNA from 1 species